CCUACGGGGUGCAGCAGUGGGGGAUAUUGCACAAUGGGGGAAACCCUGAUGCAGCGACGCCGCGUGUGGGAAGACGGUCCUCUGGAUUGUAAACCACUGUCCCCAGGGACGAAGAUGACGGUACCUGGGGAGGAAGCUCCGGCUAACUACGUGCCAGCAGCCGCGGUAAUACGUAGGGAGCGAGCGUUGUCCGGAAUUACUGGGUGAAAAGGGAGCGUAGGCGGGACUGCAAGUUGGGUGUCAAAUCUACCGGCUCAACCGGUAGCCGCACUCAAAACUGCAGUUCUUGAGUGAAGUAGAGGCAGGCGGAAUUCCUAGUGUAGCGGUGAAAUGCGUAGAUAUUAGGAGGAACACCAGUGGCGAAGGCGGCCUGCUGGGCUUUGACUGACGCUGAGGCUCGAAAGUGUGGGGAGCAAACAGGAUUAGAUACCCCAGUAGUC
rnacentral:rRNA from 1 species